rnacentral:rRNA from 1 species
AUUGAACGCUGGCGGCAUGCCUUACACAUGCAAGUCGAACGGCAGCACGGGAGCAAUCCUGGUGGCGAGUGGCGAACGGGUGAGUAAUAUAUCGGAACGUGCCCAGUCGGGGGGGAUAACGCAGCGAAAGCUGUGCUAAUACCGCCUACGAUCUAAGGAUGAAAGCGGGGGAUCGCAAGACCUCGCGCGAUUGGAGAGGCCGAAAUCAGAUUAGCUAGUUGGUGGGGUAAAGGCCCACCAAGGCGACGAUCUGUAGCUGGGCUGAGAGGACGACCAGCCACACUGGAACUGAGACACGUGCCAGACUCCUACGGGAGGCAGCGGUGGGGAAUUUUGGACAAUGGGGGCAAGCCUGAUCCAGCAUUGCCGCGUGCAGGAUGAAGGCCUUCGGGUUGUAAACUGCUUUUGUACGGAACGAAACGGCCCUUUCUAAUACAAGGGGCUAAUGACGGUACCGUAAGAAUAAGCACCGGCUAACUACGUGCCAGCCGCCGCGGUAAUAC